UUUGAUCCUGGCUCAGGAUGAACGCUAGCUACAGGCUUAACACAUGCAAGUCGAGGGGCAGCAUGAACUUAGCUUGCUAAGUUUGAUGGCGACCGGCGCACGGGUGAGUAACACGUAUCCAACCUUCCGUUUACUCAGGGAUAGCCUUUCGAAAGAAAGAUUAAUACCUGAUAGUAUGGUGAGAUUGCAUGAUAGCACCAUUAAAGAUUUAUUGGUAAACGAUGGGGAUGCGUUCCAUUAGGUAGUAGGCGGGGUAACGGCCCACCUAGCCGACGAUGGAUAGGGGUUCUGAGAGGAAGGUCCCCCACAUUGGAACUGAGACACGGUCCAAACUCCUACGGGAGGCAGCAGUGAGGAAUAUUGGUCAAUGGGCGAGAGCCUGAACCAGCCAAGUAGCGUGAAGGAUGAAGGUCCUACGGAUUGUAAACUUCUUUUAUACGGGAAUAAAGUAUCCUACGUGUAGGAUUUUGUAUGUACCGUAUGAAUAAGCAUCGGCUAACUCCGUGCCAGCAGCCGCGGUAAUACGGAGGAUGCGAGCGUUAUCCGGAUUUAUUGGGUUUAAAGGGAGCGCAGACGGGAGAUUAAGUCAGUUGUGAAAGUUUGCGGCUCAACCGUAAAAUUGCAGUUGAUACUGGUUUCCUUGAGUGCAGUUGAGGCAGGCGGAAUUCGUGGUGUAGCGGUGAAAUGCUUAGAUAUCACGAAGAACCCCGAUUGCGAAGGCAGCUUGCUAAACUGUAACUGACGUUCAUGCUCGAAAGUGUGGGUAUCAAACAGGAUUAGAUACCCUGGUAGUCCACACGGUAAACGAUGGAUACUCGCUGUUGGCGAUAUACUGUCAGCGGCCAAGCGAAAGCAUUAAGUAUCCCACCUGGGGAGUACGCCGGCAACGGUGAAACUCAAAGGAAUUGACGGAAGGGCGAAUU
rnacentral:rRNA from 1 species